ACGUCCAAAAAGAAGGAAAGGACACCUCGCCAAUCAGGGUACUAUGUGAGCAGAUGCCAGGACUUGGCGUAAACAUCUUGGAGUCCUCAUCAAACCCGGCACCUCCAAGUCCACAUCAUCCACCUCCGCAAAGCUCUUGCCAAGCUGGUGGGUUUGUACCAACUGUAGGGAGAUGCCAACACAACAGGACAGGUCAUGCUGCAAACAAAGGCCGGAUGAAUGCUUCUCAAACUUGGCAAUCUUGAGGCACCUUGUUCUGGACCACCAUUAGAGUUGGCACGACAUCACAGGAAUGACAUGUUCACCAGGGCAGCAUGAUGUACACAACAAAUGACUUUGCCACCCAGCCAGCCUUCACAGACAACAUG